rnacentral:rRNA from 1 species
GGAAGGGGUGUAUUUAUUAGAUUAAAAACCAAUGCCCUCCGGGGCUCACUGGUGAUUCAUAAUAACUUCUCGAAUCGCAUGGCCUUGCGCCGGCGAUGGUUCAUUCAAAUUUCUUCCCUAUCAACUUUCGAUGUUUGGGUAUUGGCCAAACAUGGUUGCAACGGGUAACGGAGGGUUAGGGCUCGACCCCGGAGAAGGAGCCUGAGAAACGGCUACUACAUCCAAGGAAGGCAGCAGGCGCGCAAAUUACCCAAUCCCGACUCGGGGAGGUAGUGACAAUAAAUACUGAUACAGGGCUCUUUUGGGUCUUGUAAUUGGAAUGAGUACAAUUUAAAUCCCUUAACGAGGAACAAUUGGAGGGCAAGUCUGGUGCCAGCAGCCGCGGUAAUUCCAGCUCCAAUAGCGUAUAUUAAAGUUGUUGUGGUUAAAAAGCUCGUAGUUGAACCUUGGGCCUGGCUGGCCGGUCCGCCUCACCGCGUGUACUGGUCCGGCCGGGCCUUUCCCUCUGUGGAACCCCAUGCCCUUCACUGGGUGUGGCGGGGAACCAGGACUUUUACA